rnacentral:rRNA from 1 species
ACGUGAGUAACCUGCCCUUGACUCUGGGAUAAGCCUGGGAAACUGGGUCUAAUACUGGAUACUACACAUUCUCGCAUGGGGGUGUGUGGAAAGGGUUUUACUGGUUUUGGAUGGGCUCACGGCCUAUCAGCUUGUUGGUGGGGUAAUGGCCUACCAAGGCGACGACGGGUAGCCGGCCUGAGAGGGUGACCGGCCACACUGGGACUGAGACACGGCCCAGACUCCUACGGGAGGCAGCAGUGGGGAAUAUUGCACAAUGGGCGAAAGCCUGAUGCAGCGACGCCGCGUGAGGGAUGACGGCCUUCGGGUUGUAAACCUCUUUCAGCACGGAAGAAGCGAAAGUGACGGUACGUGCAGAAGAAGCGCCGGCUAACUACGUGCCAGCAGCCGCGGUAAUACGUAGGGCGCAAGCGUUGUCCGGAAUUAUUGGGCGUAAAGAGCUCGUAGGCGGUUUGUCGCGUCUGCUGUGAAAGCCCGGGGCUUAACCCCGUGGUGUGCAGUGGGUACGGGCAGACUAGAGUGCAGUAGGGGAGACUGGAAUUCCUGGUGUAGCGGUGAAAUGCGCAGAUAUCAGGAGGAACACCGAUGGCGAAGGCAGGUCUCUGGGCUGUUACUGACGCUGAGGAGCGAAAGCAUGGGGAGCGAACAGGAUUAGAUACCCUGGUAGUCCAUGCCGUAAACGUUGGGCACUAGGUGUGGGGGACAUUCCACGUUUUCCGCGCCGUAGCUAACGCAUUAAGUGCCCCGCCUGGGGAGUACGGCCGCAAGGCUAAAACUCAAAGGAAUUGACGGGGGCCCGCACAAGCGGCGGAGCAUGCGGAUUAAUUCGAUGCAACGCGAAGAACCUUACCAAGGCUUGACAUACACCAGACCGGUCCAGAGAUGGUCCUUCCCCUUUGGGGUUGGUGUACAGGUGGUGCAUGGUUGUCGUCAGCUCGUGUCGUGAGAUGUUGGGUUAAGUCCCGCAACGAGCGCAACCCUCGUUCUAUGUUGCCAGCACGUGAUGGUGGGGACUCAUAGGAGACUGCC